rnacentral:lncRNA from 1 species
AAUUGAGAUCAGUUUUGAAAUAAGGGAAAGGGGGAUGUGAAAAAAAAAUUUGGGGGGUCAAUUUUUUUCAUUUCAGAUUUCAUAAAUAAAAAGAAAAUUUAUUCAAACAUUUUUUUGAGAGGAUUAAUAUUCAACAGCAUAGUGAAUUGCUCAAAGGCAAAACAAAAAUUUUAAGUUCAUUAGACCACAUUCAUUCUGUGUCAGAAACCUAUGCUGUGUCAACUAUUUAAUCACAAUCCAAAUUUAGAGGUGAAUCCAGCUUGAAUGUUGUGUCCAUACUUGCCCCAACCGUUCAGGGUUCAACCUCUGCGGUCGUAUAAAGCUGCGCCCUGCGGAGCAUCUGGUUAGUCCUGUUAUCAAAUUGGUCUACAUUAAAGUCCAAAGGGUCCAAAAUUAAACUAAGUUUGAUUUUAACAAAAAUUGAAUUCUUGGGCUUUUUUGAUAUGCUGAAUCUAAACAUGUACUUAGAUUUUUGAUUAUGGGCCCAGUUUUCAAGUUGGUUGAAAUCAGGAUCCAAAAUUAUUAUAUUAAGUAUUGUGCAAUAGCAAGAAAUUUUCAAUUGCACAGUAUUUCAGCAAUAGCAAGAAAUCUUCAAUUGCACAGUAUUGUGCAAUAGCAAGAAAUUUUCAAUUGCACAGUAUUGUGCAAUAGCAAGAAUUCUUCAAUUGCACAGUAUUGUGCAAUAGCAAAUAUUUUCAAUUGCACAGUAUUGCGCAAUAGCAAGAAAUAUCUAAUUGCACAAUAUUGUGCAAUAGUAAGAAAUUUUCAAUUGAUUGGAGUUAUCUUUCUUUGUCCAGAAUAGUAGUUGAAUCAACUUAAAUCAUUGUUUUAUACAAUAUACAAUGUAUAUUCACUUUUACUACCAACUGAUAAAUUAAAACAAUCUUUACCAUUCAGUGAUAACAAGCACCUUUUGUUACAUUUUAAUAUUUUAUGAUGUAUUUAAAUGAGUAGUUAUUGUUGCAAACUCCAUUAGAAAUUUGAAUUGAGAUCAGUUUUGGAAAAAGGGAAAGGGGGAUGUGAAAAAAAAAUGGGGGGGGGGGGGGUAAAUUUUUCUCAUUUCAGAUUUCAUAAAUAAAAAGAAAAUUUCUUCAAACAAUUUUUUGAGAGGAUUAAUAUUCAACAGCAUAGUGAAUUGCUCAAAGGCAAACAAAAUAUUUUAAGUUCAUUAGACCACAUUCAUUCUGUGUCCGAAACCUAUGCUACGUCAACUAUUUAAUCACAAUCCAAAUUUAGAGCUGAAUCCAGCUUGAAUGUUGUGUCCAUACUUGCCCCAACCGUUCAGGGUUCAACCUCUGCGGUCGUAUAAAGCUGCGCCCUGUGGAGCAUCUGGUUUUAAGUUGAAUAAAGUUUAUUCA